GGCCCUGUGGGGCAGAGGCAGUGUAGAGCCUGAUCUUGAUGCACAGGGCUUGAUCUGGCCCACAGGCCAGCCCUCCGAUACUCAUCUCACCCAUGGGGUGAGAAGCUUGAGUUCCACUGUUCUAUAUAGCUAUGUAGAGAGAAUUCUGUCCCUUUGUUCAUAAAAUUAAAGACAUUUCAUGAAACCAGAAACUUACCCACCUCAUCCCAGUAAGAGUUUGCCUGUUCUUUCUUUUCCCACCUGGACUCAUCCUUCUUAUUCUGUGGCAGUCAUAAUCCUCCACAUGGCAAACAGAUGUAGCAGAAUAAACUUCAGGUGGUAAAGAAGCAGUAAGGGCAAGCCAGGUUUGAAAAGAUACUUGCGAAGUCAAAAAACAACUAAGACCCAACCUGUUAGGUCUGUUAGGUUGUCCUAUGUGAUUCCACACAAUACAGACUUUGGGGGUCUUGCAUACUAGAGGAGUCCAUCCUUGGCAAGAUGUGAUUUAGUGACAGCCAGGAAUUGGUUGUGCCUAUGUGCCAGGAUCACAUGGUCUGCAUUGCAAUGAUAAAGUUUGUGAAAAAAGAUCCAGGGCCAGCAUCUGUUCUUAGUUGCAUCAUGAGAAGACCAUUGGCUUCAGAAGGUUUGUGCAUGAUGCAACAGAGCAGAAUUUGUGCCUUUGCCUAUUAGAGUGUAACACAGCAGGAGAAGGACAGCCAGGUACAGGUCAUGCAAACCAAAAUAUGCAGAUUGAUUUCUAUUGGAACGUUUUUUGUGGCAUCCUGGCAGCUGAUCUUUGGGAUAUGUUUCUGGUAUAGGGUGAUGGAUCUGCCCCAGCUGAUAAGCAUCAACUGGUUCUGCAUCCGAAGU